UACGGAGGGAGCUAGCGUUGUUCGGAAUUACUGGGCGUAAAGCGCGCGUAGGCGGCUUUGUAAGUUAGAGGUGAAAGCCCGGGGCUCAACCCCGGAACUGCCUUUAAGACUGCAUCGCUUGAAUCCAGGAGAGGUGAGUGGAAUUCCGAGUGUAGAGGUGAAAUUCGUAGAUAUUCGGAAGAACACCUGUGGCGAAGGCGGCAUCCUGGACCAACACUGACGCUGAGGAGCGAAAAGCCAGGGGGAGCAAACGGGG
rnacentral:rRNA from 1 species